rnacentral:rRNA from 1 species
GGUUAAGCGACUAAGCGUACACGGUGGAUGCCCUGGCAGUCAGAGGCGAUGAAGGACGUGCUAAUCUGCGAUAAGCGUCGGUAAGGUGAUAUGAACCGUUAUAACCGGCGAUUUCCGAAUGGGGAAACCCAGUGUGAUUCGUCACACUAUCAUUAACUGAAUCCAUAGGUUAAUGAGGCGAACCGGGGGAACUGAAACAUCUAAGUACCCCGAGGAAAAGAAAUCAACCGAGAUUCCCCCAGUAGCGGCGAGCGAACGGGGAGCAGCCCAGAGCCUGAAUCAGUGUGUGUGUUAGUGGAAGCGUCUGGAAAGGCGCGCGAUACAGGGUGACAGCCCCGUACACAAAAAUGCACAUGCUGUGAGCUCGAUGAGUAGGGCGGGACACGUGGUAUCCUGUCUGAAUAUGGGGGGACCAUCCUCCAAGGCUAAAUACUCCUGACUGACCGAUAGUGAACCAGUACCGUGAGGGAAAGGCGAAAAGAACCCCGGCGAGGGGAGUGAAAAAGAACCUGAAACCGUGUACGUACAAGCAGUGGGAGCACGCUUAGGCGUGUGACUGCGUACCUUUUGUAUAAUGGGUCAGCGACUUAUAUUCUGUAGCAAGGUUAACCGAAUAGGGGAGCCGAAGGGAAACCGAGUCUUAACUGGGCGUUAAGUUGCAGGGUAUAGACCCGAAACCCGGUGAUCUAGCCAUGGGCAGGUUGAAGGUUGGGUAACACUAACUGGAGGACCGAACCGACUAAUGUUGAAAAAUUAGCGGAUGACUUGUGGCUGGGGGUGAAAGGCCAAUCAAACCGGGAGAUAGCUGGUUCUCCCCGAAAGCUAUUUAGGUAGCGCCUCGUGAAUUCAUCUCCGGGGGUAGAGCACUGUUUCGGCAAGGGGGUCAUCCCGACUUACCAACCCGAUGCAAACUGCGAAUACCGGAGAAUGUUAUCACGGGAGACACACGGCGGGUGCUAACGUCCGUCGUGAAGAGGGAAACAACCCAGACCGCCAGCUAAGGUCCCAAAGUCAUGGUUAAGUGGGAAACGAUGUGGGAAGGCCCAGACAGCCAGGAUGUUGGCUUAGAAGCAGCCAUCAUUUAAAGAAAGCGUAAUAGCUCACUGGUCGAGUCGGCCUGCGCGGAAGAUGUAACGGGGCUAAACCAUGCACCGAAGCUGCGGCAGCGACGCUGAUGCGUUGUUGGGUAGGGGAGCGUUCUGUAAGCCUGCGAAGGUGUGCUGUGAGGCAUGCUGGAGGUAUCAGAAGUGCGAAUGCUGACAUAAGUAACGAUAAAGCGGGUGAAAAGCCCGCUCGCCGGAAGACCAAGGGUUCCUGUCCAACGUUAAUCGGGGCAGGGUGAGUCGACCCCUAAGGCGAGGCCGAAAGGCGUAGUCGAUGGGAAACAGGUUAAUAUUCCUGUACUUGGUGUUACUGCGAAGGGGGGACGGAGAAGGCUAUGUUGGCCGGGCGACGGUUGUCCCGGUUUAAGCGUGUAGGCUGGUUUUCCAGGCAAAUCCGGAAAAUCAAGGCUGAGGCGUGAUGACGAGGCACUACGGUGCUGAAGCAACAAAUGCCCUGCUUCCAGGAAAAGCCUCUAAGCAUCAGGUAACAUCAAAUCGUACCCCAAACCGACACAGGUGGUCAGGUAGAGAAUACCAAGGCGCUUGAGAGAACUCGGGUGAAGGAACUAGGCAAAAUGGUGCCGUAACUUCGGGAGAAGGCACGCUGAUAUGUAGGUGAAGUCCCUCGCGGAUGGAGCUGAAAUCAGUCGAAGAUACCAGCUGGCUGCAACUGUUUAUUAAAAACACAGCACUGUGCAAACACGAAAGUGGACGUAUACGGUGUGACGCCUGCCCGGUGCCGGAAGGUUAAUUGAUGGGGUCAGCGCAAGCGAAGCUCUUGAUCGAAGCCCCGGUAAACGGCGGCCGUAACUAUAACGGUCCUAAGGUAGCGAAAUUCCUUGUCGGGUAAGUUCCGACCUGCACGAAUGGCGUAAUGAUGGCCAGGCUGUCUCCACCCGAGACUCAGUGAAAUUGAACUCGCUGUGAAGAUGCAGUGUACCCGCGGCAAGACGGAAAGACCCCGUGAACCUUUACUAUAGCUUGACACUGAACAUUGAGCCUUGAUGUGUAGGAUAGGUGGGAGGCUUUGAAGUGUGGACGCCAGUCUGCAUGGAGCCGACCUUGAAAUACCACCCUUUAAUGUUUGAUGUUCUAACGUUGACCCGUAAUCCGGGUUGCGGACAGUGUCUGGUGGGUAGUUUGACUGGGGCGGUCUCCUCCUAAAGAGUAACGGAGGAGCACGAAGGUUGGCUAAUCCUGGUCGGACAUCAGGAGGUUAGUGCAAUGGCAUAAGCCAGCUUGACUGCGAGCGUGACGGCGCGAGCAGGUGCGAAAGCAGGUCAUAGUGAUCCGGUGGUUCUGAAUGGAAGGGCCAUCGCUCAACGGAUAAAAGGUACUCCGGGGAUAACAGGCUGAUACCGCCCAAGAGUUCAUAUCGACGGCGGUGUUUGGCACCUCGAUGUCGGCUCAUCACAUCCUGGGGCUGAAGUAGGUCCCAAGGGUAUGGCUGUUCGCCAUUUAAAGUGGUACGCGAGCUGGGUUUAGAACGUCGUGAGACAGUUCGGUCCCUAUCUGCCGUGGGCGCUGGAGAACUGAGGGGGGCUGCUCCUAGUACGAGAGGACCGGAGUGGACGCAUCACUGGUGUUCGGGUUGUCAUGCCAAUGGCACUGCCCGGUAGCUAAAUGCGGAAGAGAUAAGUGCUGAAAGCAUCUAAGCACGAAACUUGCCCCGAGAUGAGUUCUCCCUGACUCCUUGAGAGUCCUGAAGGAACGUUGAAGACGACGACGUUGAUAGGCCGGAUGUGUAAGCGCAGCGAUGCGUUGAGCUAACCGGUACUAAUGAACCGUGAGGCUUAACCUU